rnacentral:rRNA from 1 species
GACGAACGCUGGCGGCGUGCCUAAUACAUGCAAGUCGAGCGACGCAUGCUCGGUGGGUAACCACUGGGUAUGACGGAGCGGCGAACGGGUGAGUAACACGUGAGUAACCUGCCCCGAAGACCGGGAUAGCCCGGGGAAACCCGGAUUAAUACCGGAUGCCCUCUCUGGAUCGCAUGGUCCGGUGAGGAAAUGCCUUUGUGCUUCGGGAUGGACUCGCGGCCUAUCAGCUUGUUGGUGAGGUAACGGCCCACCAAGGCUACGACGGGUAGCUGGUCUGAGAGGACGAUCAGCCACACUGGGACUGAGACACGGCCCAGACUCCUACGGGAGGCAGCAGCAGGGAAUCUUGUCCAAUGGGCGAAAGCCUGAGACAGCGACGCCGCGUGAGGGAUGAAGGCCUUCGGGUUGUAAACCUCUUUCAGGAAGGACGAAAUUGACGGUACCUCCAGAAGAAGCCCCGGCCAACUACGUG